AACGCGAAGAACCUUACCUGGGCUCGAAAUGUAGUGGAAUCCGGCAGAAACGUCGGCGUCUAGCAAUAGACCGCUAUAUAGGUGCUGCAUGGCUGUCGUCAGCUCGUGUCGUGAGAUGUUGGGUUAAGUCCCGCAACGAGCGCAACCCUUACCCCCAGUUGCCAUCAUUUAGUUGGGCACUCUGGUGGAACCGCCUCGGAUAACGGGGAGGAAGGUGGGGAUGACGUCAAGUCCUCAUGGCCUUUAUGUCCAGGGCUACACACGUGCUACAAUGGCCGGUACAAACCGUCGCAAACCCGUGAGGGGGAGCUAAUCGGAAAAAGCCGGCCUCAGUUCGGAUCGCAGUCUGCAACUCGACUGCGUGAAGCUGGAAUCGCUAGUAAUCGCGGAUCAGAACGCCGCGGUGAAUACGUUCCCGGGCCUUGUACACACCGGAGUA
rnacentral:rRNA from 1 species